CCAAUGCCCCCCACAGUUCACCUGGUCCUCACACAAGCCCUGCCCCACAGAGGCAGACACCCUUGCCUGCCUGUAGAGGAUCAAGGCAUUCAGUCAAUGCAGGCUGAAAAGUAGCCUGAGGGCUUGCUGUUAGGUGGGGCCAGUCGCUAGGGCGGGUUGCCUGCCCUGGCUGAACUGGAUUAAAUCUGUGCUCUAGUGGGUGUGGCAGACCCCUGGGCUAACAGCCCAAGGGAGGCACCUCAAUGGCCCCCACCAGUGUCCGUAUCAGCACGCCUGGACCAGCUCAGAACAACGGCCCCCACCAAUGUCUCAGUCUCCGGAGACGACCCUCCUCUCACCAAGAUGCCCCCAGAGCCCACCAGGGAACUUCAGCACAUCUUGAUGUGAGAUGGUGGAAGCUUGGAUACUGUAUAAACCUUUUCAGAUCUGCCAAUCAGCCUGAAGAAUUCAAAGGAAUGAGAGAGACUGAACUAGAAGCCAAAGCUCUUGGCAUGAGGAGUGUGAUGAAUUGGGACAGCACUGAUGCCAGAAGUUGCUGGCACAAGCAGGUGCACCUGAUAGAUGAAGGAAAACCACAAAGGGUGGGAAGGGCUCUGUAGACUGUGAUAUGGGGACCUGGUGUCUUUACUUUCAUUCUAAUUCAAUCUCCUUCAACCCAGGAGUCCCUUGUGUGCUACUUUUCACAGGAAGUCUUUCAACUUUCAUUUGAUCAUUUCUAAGAUUGUUGUUCACUAGUGUUUGAUCAAGUCUGUUCUUUUGUUGCUAGUCCUUAACUGGAUACUACUGCUCUUGUGAAAAUCUUAGGUCAUUGGUUUCAAUUCCCCAGGAAGUUAUCUUUCACAUGAUAAGCAUUUGUGCACUUGUAGAUGACUUUGGGGGCCCAUCCAACCCUCAAUCUCAACUUCUUUCUCCCUGGCUUGUAUCUACCAUCAAGGCCGAAAAGGUUAACCUCUUGUUUUUCCAGUCUCAUUUGAAGUUAGGAAUGUCCUUCAACACAGCUCUUGCCAAUGAGUUGUAUGUGAAAGUUUAUGAUAUCUGGAAAUCAUAAAGAAGGGCCAAGAUACGAAAACAUUGACCAUGAAGACCUUGACUACUGAACCAAUGCAGACAACUACCUAUUUCCAGACUUUUUGAUAUGAAAAAAAGCCUUUCUUUGCUUAAACCGCUGUGUCAAGGUUUCCUGUUACCUAUAGGCAAACACAAUGGUCACUGAUGGAGUUUCACGUUUCAUACCCUAAGACUUCCUUUUGCAUUGUGGAUACUACCAAAUCCUGCCCCUCUUCCCUGAUAGACCCUACUGCUUUCCUGCUUCUGUGAAAACAUCCUUUUCUCUUGCUUAAAGGCUUUUCCCUCCUGGCCAAAGUCUACUCAUCCUUCACAUCUUUCUUUGAUGCAGAUCCAAAGCCAGAAAAAUCUUAUUUUUUACACUGAACUCCCUCUGGCUUUCUGAAGUGCCUCUGUCAUGCUUCUUUUUCAAUUCUGUCAUGAAGCCUAGUCAUUUGUAUAUUUCUCUUAUCCGUAUUCACUACCCUGAUGAGAUGGAAGCUGUUUUAAGGGUGAUUUCUACACUUUUCUCUGCACUCUCAUAUCUCUUAUCAUACAACCUUGCUAAUAGAAAGCACUACUUGUUUGAUUUUAAUUCAAUAAAUGUUUAUCAUUUCAUUUCCUUUUUGAUAGCUUCAGUUUUGAUUAAAGUGUAUGCUGACAUUUUAAGGAAGAGUUUAGUUUUUCAGGAAAGGCAACAUCAGCUUAGUUGAGUGAAUGUCUUUGGGAUGUUAAGCCCUGAAGAAAGACUACCUAUUGGCUUGCUCGAAUGUCAC
rnacentral:lncRNA from 1 species